CCACCACUACCUCCUCUCGCGGCUAAGGAAAGGAUCAGGCACCACCAGCGAAGGUGACAAGUCCUACAAAAUCCCCACCGGCGGCCUCUUCGGCCUCGUCGCCUGCCCGCACUACCUUUUCGAGAUCGCCGGUUUCUUCGGGUUCGCAAUGAUCUCGCAGACGGUGUACGCGCUCGCCAUGGCCUCUGGCACGGCCGCGUACCUCACCGGCCGGAGCUGCGCCACCAGGAGGUGGUACGCGUCCAAGUUUGAGGAGUACCCGGCCAGGAUCAAGGCUCUUGUGCCAUAUAUCUUGUAAUGUCAUAAUUAGAGCUUCGGGUAGUAGAUAGAGUGGAGUUCGAUCGAGUGUGGAUCGAUGUAUCUGGAUCGGACUCAAGUCUCUGCUAAUGGGGCGUUAGUUUCUGUUACAAUGAUUUACUUUGGUUAAAUAACCUAAAUGAGCAAACGAAACGAAAUCACCCUGCUUCCUUGUUUGAGAAGGCUCAAUGAUUUCUGACUGUUGUUUAGUAAUAUUCCGUAAUAAUAAUAGGGUUUUUUUAUUUCAGUGUCCUCGGUUCCUUAGUUGUACUUAGUUUUGCCCAAGGCUUAAAACGUUGCUCGCUUCUACACUUCGUUCUUUGGCAAAUGCUCGCAAAUGUUCUCACGGCGGACCUAUUAACGUUCAAGGCCUUUGACCGUUACCUCCUGACGGGUGGAGCCAGGUUAAAUCCUGUCGAGUGGGGCCAACCUAGCUACUGACAUGGGGGCUGAAGCAACAGGAAAAUGAUCCCUUUGACUGUAGAAGAAAUGAUUAAUUUACAAGUGGGUCCACCGUCGGAAGGAAAAAUCAGGCGGCUUCUGGCCACUGCCUCGCCGACGCUUUGCCGUCGCCGGAGUUGCUCUCCUGCGCGACACAGGCCAUGUAGGGGGUGGGGUGUCUAGCAGGCGCAAGGCCGCUUCACCCUGAGGUGGCAUUGGAGCUUCUCAUUGCUGAAAUCUUACUGGCCGCGGGCUCGUGCGGUCUGCGGUGGCAGAGGGCUCCACUAGGAAGCGGGGCGAUACAGAGCACGGGAGAGGCAGGAAAGAGGGGCAAAAGAAUAAGUAUGUCAUCACGAAUCUGACGGAGGCAUUGGAAGGGGUGGAGGAGCACUGCGCGAGAACCUCGACGCCGGCGGGUGGCAGGCAGAGAGGAACAGCGACGCGGGGAUGACUCAGACCACGUGAGGCUCGAUGAGAAUCAUCGGAAGGUUCAGAGGAUCAGGUGGAGCUGAGAGAUGCGGCGGUCGAGUCCGGAAGUCACCGGAGAAGGAGAUCUGCUCGGCGGAAGCAACUGGUAGGAGCUGAGGAAGAAGAUGGUGACGCAACGAUUGGAGGCACCUCGAGUUGAUUACUUCUGCAGGAAGGAUUCUCGAGCCGAUGCGGGUCUCUUGGGAAAGGUGGCGAGGCUCAUGGAGGACGCUGGCCAUGACGGCGCAAAGCAGCGGCGCGCGAGCGUGCUCUGGACGGAGCGAACGCCAUUCGCGUUCCGGCCAGGAUAGAGCACGAGAGGAUGCGCGGCUUGCGGAUACAGCUUCAGCAUGUCUACGAGGUCAUGGCGGCAAGGUUUAGCGGCCGAGUUGAGAACCAUGGACGACAGAAAGAGCGCCCAGGAAGAUGAGCUGCUUUUGUUCACCGGGGGGAGAAAGAGCCACUUUUUACCCUUUGAGCCCACUAAAAUGGACAAUUUUGUAGGACGUUUGGAAAUUGAACUUCCUCCAAAUUGAUCUCUGAUAGCACAGAUGCAAUCCGAAUGGAAAGUUAUGCGAGAUGACGAAAUUUUAAAUUGUUUUGACAAAGUUGACUUCUGUUGACAGGCCCACUAUUUGGCCCGUUUAAUGUAAAUUUUGGAAUUCAAUCACAAAACUUUCUCCAAAUGAACUCAAAUGUUGCACAGUAGUCACAUAUGCCUAUUAAUGUCAUUAUCUCAAAGCUUGUUCAAAUCUGAAUUGUUUACCUAUUUUUUGAAUUUCAAAUUCAAACAAAUCUAGGGAACCGUUACCUCAGUCAGCACUUAGAUUCACAAUUUUCGUCCAAGAAGAUUUUCAUAGCGUUUAGUGUUCAUCCUUGAUGUUUUCUCCAAAUUUCAGAUUUUCUAGAGUUUAGGAACCAUAUUUCGUGCAUUCUUUGAAUUUCCAGCCUUUUCGGCUCAUAAUUAAAAAUUCAAUGAAACUUCGCACAAAUCGAUGUGGAACCAAUAUAGCAAAGUCAUGGUUUUACCAUGGCAUUCCAAAAUAACUUGGAAUGCACCGGGUCCAAACGCAUUUGAAUCCUUUUUGCACCUAAACUACUGUUUUUGCCUAUUUUGCCAAUUGGAAAAAAAAAUCAGCCCAAAAUCAAUUUGUGACCGGCGUUUACUUUACCAACGUUGUUUCAUUCAAAAUACUACAACCUUAUGCCGUUACCAUACCCAUAUAUAUAAGAGAAAAACGUAUAACAUUCCAUAUAUAUAUAUCAACAUAGAGAUACGUAGGAAUAAAAAUAGAGAUAUGUAGCAACAUAUACAUAUGCAGCUAGAGAUAAAUAACAGAUAACAUUAUGCAGCAUCGUCGCCGUCGUUGAGGCCGAAGAUGGCGUCGCGCUCCGCCUGGAUUUCCCGGACGUUCUUCCUCCCCCGCUCCUCGAGAAGGUUGCUCCUCUCCGAGUUUAGCGUCGCGAGCUCAAACUCGUACCGCUCCCUCGCCUCCGCCGCCUUCCGGUCGCACUCGUUGGCAAAAUAUUCCGCCACGGAAGCCACCUUCACGGCAGCCAUGUGCCGCCGGUCGGCUUCCCGCACACGCUGCUGGAGGGUGUGCCGGAGCUCGGUGUGGCGCUGAUUGAUCUCGCACUCGGCCUCCUCCUCGUCCUCGUCAUCGUCGUCGUCGUCAUUGAGGGGGAGUCGGCCACAGGACAAGCACGGGACGUCCGCAUCGAUGCGGGCACACUUUGGCGGCGGCGAGCGGCUGCAACGAGCGGCGGCGUCCAUGCUCAAUGCAUGGGACAAUGCUGCCGGCGCAUGUCGGCGGGUGCCGGACGGCGGAUUGGUGGCCAGCUCACGCCCAUGGCCGUCGCCGGCCGAGCUCUCGGUACCGUCUACUAGCUCCUUGUCCUUGGCCAUGGUGGAGAGAAGCGGUAGAGCUCGAGAGAGAGAGAGAGGAAGAAUGUAGAUGAGAUCAGAGGAGACGAGAGAAUUGGUUUACUGGGCACGCACAUAAGUAGUAGUGGGGAGAGGAAGCCGACGGGACCGACAGAGUAGUGGAGAGAGGAAACCGACGGGACCAUCUCACAGUUAUUGAGAGUGAGUGGGAAAUGUGCUGGGAUCGCUCUCACUGGGCCGCGCCGCCGCGCACACCUGCUAUUGACGCCAGUUCCCUCCAACUUCCCACGUACGCCAGUUUCCCAUGCAUUUCAAACAGCGCCGGCGACCGCAUUCAAAGCCUACCGAUCGCCGGAAAACCUCUCCCUUCCCGUGUCACCAUCGCUAUUUAACCUGACGCCAUGGCUCUGCUUCUUCUACACAGCUCUCCAUUCUUCUCCUUCUUCUACACAGCUCGCCACUCCACUUCUUCAACCCGCCGCCCAACGCCCCCACUGAGGACAAGCAAUGGCGUUCGAAGGCCUCACCUUCCACCCGCCACCCCUCACUGACGAGACGUUGUUCCCACCUGGCGUGCGUGUGGAGCGGACGCUCCAGGUGUGGGCGAUGUCGCGCAGCCGGAGCUCGAUGGCGCUGGCCAGGAACUUCCUCAACACCGGCUUCAGUCACCUGGAGGCCGGUGGCCCUCCAAUUUACCGCCUGGAGAGGCUCCGCGAGCACGGCGUCAAAACCGCCCUCCUGGUGCACCUCACCAUCAGCCAUGACGCCGAUUACCUCCUUGGCCGCGUGUACUGGUGUGGAUGCCAGUUCAUCGCAUUCCCGUUGUACAACGUGUACACCAACACUACGACCACGUUCUCCCACGCCGACGAGAUGCACGGCCUCCCGUACAUGGAGGAGGCGGAGGCGCCUGUGGAGGUGGCUGUCAAGGGGCCUGCGCCGCCUGUGGAGGAAUCUGAAGACGAAGCCGAGGAGUGAGCGAUCGAGCGGCGUUUUUUUUUCAAAAUUAAUGUCGUUAAUGUAAGCCCUUGUUGGAAUAUAUGAACUAGGUUCUUUCUUCCAUGGCUGUGUUGUGCUGUGUCCGCGGCAUGAGCGCGCGACAGCGGCGCAUCCUAGCAUCGUAGCGUCGACCGAGAGCAUCCUAGCGGCGCAUCCUUGCGUCCAUGCCCCUGUCCCGGUCCUUGUCCUCGUGCUCGCGCCGAUCCCCACGCCGCAGCGGCCGUCGUCGCGGUGGCCAGAGUCAAGCUCGCUGAAGCCCGGCCCGUCGCACAGUCAGCGGCGCACAUUGGUCCCACCCAUCAGGCUUAUACCCGGUAACACUCAUCAGCAGCUAACGGCUUGACCGAGUUGACCGUGAGGAGGUGCUCCGUGAUGGUAAAAGCGAGCAUCUGCGCAAAGGAGGAGGGUAGAAGCGAGCAGUGUUCUAAGGCCUGGGCAAAACUGAGUAAAACUAAGAAACCGAUGGCACAAAAGUAAAAAACACAUAAUACUACUACUUUCUAAGAACCAAGCAUAACUUGGUGUUAGGUUCGUUGCAUAGGAAACAAAAAUUUCCUACGAGAAGUGCGGAAGAAAACCCAAGAAUAUAUAUACUAGAUGUAUGUAACGAGAGGGAUCAUGAACACCAUACCCUCGUAGACCGCUAAGCGUUACGAUCACGAGAUCGUUGUUGGUGUAGUGGAACUUUCAAUGAGAUCAAUCUCAGUGCCGAACGGACAGCACCUCCUUGGUAUCCACACGUUCAGCUUCACGUUGUCUCCUCCUUCCUCGAUCCAGCAAGCGAGAGGGAGAGGUAGACGAGAUCCCGGCAGCACGACGGCGUGGUGACUAUGGUGAAUAUUCUCACGGGCAGGGCUACGCCGUGCGCGUGAGAAGAGGAGGAGAGGAGGGCUCAGGGGAGAGAGAUCCAACUGAAAGCUUGGGGUUGUCUCUCUCCCUUGCCCCCCCUUCUAUUUAUAUAGGCGUAGAGGAGGCGUGGCCGGCCAGGACUAUCCCAUGGCCGCAUGGGCCCUGUGGGCUAGCCCCUCGGACUCUCAUGCGGCCAGGACUCUCCUCCUGGCCGCAUGGGCCCUGUGGGCUAGCCCCUCGGCCCAUUAAGGCCAGGGUGCUCCCUCACAGGCCCAUUUAGCCCAGGGAUAGGUGGGCCUCAAGGUGGAUCCCUCCGGAACCUUCUAGAAGCUUCCCGGUCAAAACCGGGAAAUAUUCCAAACUUUCCAGAACCCUGAAAACAACUUUCCAUAUAUAAAUCUUUAUCUCCGGAACAUUCCGGAGCUCCUCGUUGCGUCUAGGAUCCCAUCCAAGACUCCGAAUCAUAAUUCGAUAUCAUCAUCAUUUAUUUCAUCUAACCCAAGCAACAUGAAACGUUAAGUGUGUGACCCUACGGGUUCGAGAACAUGUGGACAUGAUCAAAUAUCAAUAACCAAUAGCGGGACCUGGAUGUCCAUAAUAGUUCCCACAUAUUCCACGAAGAUCUCAUCGGUUGAACCACUAUGUCGAGGAUUCAAUUAAUCCAGUAUCCAAUUCUCUUUGUCUCGCGAUAUAUUACUUGCCCGAGAUUUGAUCGUCGGUAUCACCAUACCUAGUUUAAUCUCGUUACCGGCAAGUUCUCUUUACUCGUUCCGUAAUAUAAUACCCCCGCAACUAAACACAUUAGUUGCAUGCUUGCAAGCUCAUUAGGAUGUUAUAUUACCGAGAGGGCCCAGAGAUAUCUCUCCGUCACAAGGAGUGACAAAUCCCAGUCUUGAUCCAUACAACCCAACAAGCACCUUCUGGGAUACCUGAAAAACACCUUUAUGAUCACCCAGUUACGAGAUGACGGUUGAUGCCCACAAAGUAUUCUUCCGGUAUUAGGGAGUGGCAUGAUCUCAUGGUCUAAAGAAAUAAUACUUGACAUAAUAAAACAUAAGCAACUUAAACUUAAGUGACACGAUCAAAAGCUAUGUUUAGGUUUGGGUCUGUCCAUCACAUCAUUCUCCUAAUGAUAUGAUCUCGUUAUUAAAUGACAACACAUGUCUAUGGUUAGGAAACCUUAACCAUCUUUAAUCAACGAUCUAAUCUAGUAGAGGCGUAUUAGGGACACGGUAUUUGUUUAUUUAUCCACACAUGUAUUUGAGUUUCCAAUCAAUACAAUUAUAGCAUGGGCAAUAAACAUUUAUCAAGAACAAUGAAAUAUGAUAAUAACAAAUUUAUUAUUCCCUCUAGGGCAUAUUUCCAACACUUGGGUGGUGAGCCAAUCAUGUGUGCUAUCAGAGUACGAUAAAAAUAUAUAUCUAUGUAUCAUUGGAUUGCAAUGGUACUAGUUUUCCGGUUGGGUUUGAUGGUGGAAACAAGAAUGCGUCCCAUGUCAAGGUUUUGAUAUUCAUGCUAUUAUUUCUCUUUGAGGUGAUUCUAGCAUGCUAAAAUUAAUUUUUCGAUGGUUUUUUUAGUAGUGUUGCGCUCCAAAUGUGCCCCAUGGCAAGCUUUGAUUUUUGUUCUAUUUUUCUCUUUGAGGUCAUUCUAGUAUGCUAACAUUAAUUUUUGGAUGGCUUUCUCAGCAGAGGUGUGCCCGAUCUUUUUAGAACUGUUGCAUAUAUUCUUCAUGACUUUCUAGUUCGACGGCUGGCGGGACGAGCCUAUUGAGGCGAGAAGAUGUACAAACAUACACGAAGUCACGAACGAUUCAUUUCGGUAACAAAACAAGUCCGAAUAGAAACAUACUAACAUAAAUCUAACAGCAUGAGGAUGUGCAAAUAAGUGGUAGAUGACGACAUACACUGGUUACUUCAGGCAACUAAACCCGAGCAUCGUCACAAAAAAACCAACCAAGACUCUGCAAAUAAUCCAAGUCAUAAACUGUGGUGACUACAGGCUCAAGUAGUAUACUAACUGAAGAGUUAAGCGAUGUAACUCUCUAUCCCUCUGCUAUCCACCAUCUCAGCUAACAACACAGUAAACUCUUGUCAAAUGCUCUGAACUUCUGCUUAAACCGGCUAACAUCAUCUCCAAAUUAAUCACUGGAGGAACAAGUAAUAAUUAGCAAUAUAUACAAUGAGGUGAAGAAAUAUUACAAAUAUGAUAACUAUAGGCAACAAAAUUGACAACCUUAGGAGUCCUUGAAAGCAAAUCAAUUCUAAAACUUGUUAGCCUGAUCGGAGUCCUUAAAGUCGGUGAGAUCUGCAAAAUGAUUAGAAUAAAAGAGAAUUAGUGACAUUCAGAAACACUAAAGUUAUAUCCAAAGAACAAAUAGGGGAGAUGGGUGAAUCAGCAGAUAUAUUACAUGACAUGAUAGAGUUAAAAAGCAAGGGGGUGUCUAUUUUGCAUUUAGCUGAAUUUCAAUUAGGUUUCAGUCACAUUUUUUAGCCAACCAACAUUGCCUACACCCAACCAGCAUCACAAAAACAGAAAAACCUGCGACGAGGAAGAAAAACAAGUCUCUCCGCCCCCUCCCCGACCAAGCCCACUAACCCAAAAUCAAAGAUUAGUAUCUACAGCCCGAAUCAAAGAUUAGUAUCUACAGGCAAAUUAUAGAAUCAAGACCCUGCUAUCGAACCUAAUAACUGCAACUGAAUCAAGGCGUAAUUUUGACUACACAUUGCAAUAAGCAACAAAACUGUAGGAUGAGUUAAGAAAAACAAUCUGAUAGACCUGAGAUAAAUAUACCACUGUAGGAUGAGUUAAGAAUAACAGUCUAGCUAAUAGACCUGCAACAAAUGUACCAUUGAAAAAACUGAAGAAUAACUGAAGGCUAGUUACUGUUGUUUAACUAGACUAACCGAACACUAUAAGGCUGGUCAUAGUGGAGAAUAACUUAGAGUAGUAACAUGAUUAUGUUAUUAGUCUAAAUUACUACCUUCAUAGUGCAUGUAGUAACUUACAUGUGAUGUCAUAUAUUGUGUUAUUUAUUAGGUUGCAGACUCAUCUUAUCUUGAUUUGCGUGAUGUUAUGAUAACAUAUCUAGUUAUCACAUCACUCUCUUUCUUCAUUUAAUACCAUGUCACAUCACAAAAUUGCCUAGUUGGCACUUAUGUUACUACCCAAGUUACUCCCACUAUGAGUAGCCUAACUGAUGUAUGAGUUCAGAUGAAACACACUUGUAAUACCUCAAAAUUUAUAAAGGUUAUUUUUUGACAUGGGCAGACAUAGUUGACCAAAAUGUAACUUUUUGAAACGUAACCCAUAUGGAAAAUUGGAGGCAAUGGUUGGAUUUGUCUCGCCGAAUCGAUCGAAAAUGACUGUAGGUUUGUGAACUUCAGAGCCUGGAUUAAUAGGUCGAGGCCUCUUUUAAUUUCAGCCUUUUAGAUGUAUUUCAGAUUUCUCAAAAAAAAAAGAUGUAUUUCGGAUAAAACAAAAUAAAAUAAAAAUAGCACCAUAACAGACUCGAGGAAACCUGGGGAAAUAAAAUUCCCUUCUCUAUCUUUCCCCAAGCCACGCCGGAUCUUUUCUUUUGCCCAACCACCUGGAGCGCCUAGGGUUCCUGGCUGCCGCCGCCUGCCAGCCGCACGCCGUCGCUGCGGUCCCUGCUGCCUGCACACUGCCCGCCGGAGACCUUCCCUCCUCCCUCAGCUUCCCGCUGUUCUGUUCGUCAGGCACACACACGUUGCAGCUGCGUUCUGGGCUGUAGUUUCUUUCGAAUCUUGUUGUUCUGGUAAUCCUGGUUAGAUCAAACAAAGCUGGUAGUCUCUUUCAGCGUUAUUGGUGAAUCUGAUCCAAACACAAGGUAGUUCUCUGUACAAAGGAAAGAAUCAGCGAGUAAUUGUUUUGAUCUGUCGUGGGCUACUUUCAUGGUUCAUGGUUUCAAUCUGUAGAACUCUGAUUCAGCAGCAACUCUGAGUUAAAACUGGGUUGAAACGGCUGGGAAUUUGGAGAUUCCACUUAAAGAAAAGUUGUAGAGUUUCUCAAUAGCUUUCCAACGCUAUUUUUUUUUUCUCAAUUCCAGUAAGUAACGAGAAAGUUAUAAGCAAAACAGUGCUACUGUACUAGGGUCAUUAGUUGGUGCAGAUUUCCCUUUUCCCAUGAAUUCGUCCGGUUUGAGGCAGAACUAAAUUUUGGUCGCAACAUGAAAAUUGUAGAUGAAUCCCUGCUGAUCAUCGUAAUGUGCUUGGUUGCAUGAUUUGGUGAAGGGAGUCAAGAUUUAUAACCUAAACACAGAACUGCUCAGAACAUGUUUGAGAGGGUAAAAUGAACAGAUGUUGUUAGGAUUUCGGUUUCUUGUUGAGGGCAUUAGUAUUACUUGUGUGUCUACCUUUUGAUUAUCCUUGCACUAGUCCUAAGAGAUACUUGUACAGGUUUUGGAUGUUUGAGAGCCAAGGCAAAUGUGUGGAUUGUCCACGAUAUCUAUGGCAAGUACAUGGCGAGCCCCUCUUUACAUGGUUGCCCAUUGUAUGUCAAACUUCUACUCCUUUAUUUGAUUUGAGGCAAAUGAACAGUGAUUCCUUUCUUAUGUGUGGUUGCUUGUGUUCCAUGAUGGUUCCUUCCCAAUGCGUUGUGGUUUGUGUUAUUUCAGAACGGAUGGUUGUUCUUGUGUUCCUUGUUUUUCAGAGUUUGUUCACUGUCCACGCGUAUCGAUUCAUUCAUUUCAAAAGAAGGAUUGCAGUUGGUUAGUCCCCACCACAGUUCAGGAUGGUCAGUACACGCCACCCCUGUUGUCACAUGAUGAUAGUCCCCGUCACAUGUGGUUAAGUCCAGAUUGUUCAUUCAGAUCAUUCAUUGCAUUCAUGUUCGAUCCAUUUUUCAGUGAAGUGUUCUUUUCUAGUAAGAUGUGAUGAUGAGUAAUAUUCAAUGUUUUUUUCGGAUUCCGUAUUGUACUUGCUGAGUUUUAUACUCAUUCUUGCAUUCUCGUUGUUUUAUUUGGUUUUUCAGGUACAUGCGAGUAAUAGCAUCCUUGGGCGGGAGUAACACAACUUCACAUGAUACAUCACAACACAUCGCAUAUAAUUAGUGGUCGCAGUAUCAUAAUUGUUGGUUAGUAUCAUAAUAUGUAUAGAGAACUGGUGGGUAAUUAUGUAGUGUGAGUGUUUGACCACGAGUUUUAUGUCUAUUGUUGUAGUUGAUAGAGAAUUAUGGAUUUUGAGCAUCACUAAUUGAGUUAAAAAUGAUGAUAUUCAAGUAAUAUAAUCAAUUGCCUGUCAUGGAUGUCCUUGUAAACAAAGGCAACUGUGCUGAAAUUCUAAUUUUAUGUCCUUGGAGUUAAUCUUACUUGCGUAGUGUGGUAAUAUUCUGGGUAGGGUCGAUAUCUGGGGUGUUACAACAUUGAUGCAAUAAUAGCAGUAAAAGUGAUGUAGUAACUAUAAGAUACAAACCGAACCAUAGAAUGAGACUAAGAAUAAGACUAGAAUUAAUUAGAACUUAAUAAAAUAUCGAAACUUAUGAAAAAAUACUAAAACAAUGAAGACUGAAACGAAAUAUAGAGAUAUUGUGACUAGACACACAGACUGAAGACUAAACCGUAGACUCAGUGACACAGACCGAAAACUAUGAUUCUGUCUAAUUUAUAUAUAUAAUUUCUGAAGAUUGAAUACUGAAAAAUUAAUUGUUACAUAAAUUAGGCUGUCUUCUUCUGCCGCGAGCGCCGAAAAGGAGACCCGGCGCGUCACAAGUACCAUGAUGUUGACUAGAUCCUCUGAGCGCAAGGAAUGGAGCUGACAUUGACUACAACGAGGUCGGCCAUCUAGCUCCUCUCCGGCCAAUUUCUGAUGAGUUUCUUCUCCACUCGGUGAGCUUCGGAAUGUUCUUGCAUGGCUUGUGCUCACACUCUUUUCCUCUCUCUGUAGCACUAGGAUGACGUGGAUGUGACAUGGACCGACCCAAAAUUUGCAGGUAGUUGUGCAACUUAUACUGCAAUAUCGACACAUACAAAAUCGUCCUGGAGAUACGAUUGAUCCUAAUGCAGAAAUCGACGAGAAAUUAAUGCCCCAUUGAUCCCGUGCGUUCCAAUUUGAUCAUAAUUUGAAAUCUGUAUAAAUAGUAGUUCAAAUCAUUUGAAAUUUGUUUAAUUCAUAUAAGUUGUUUCCUAACUCCAAAAUUGGCAAACCUUAUAUGCAUUUUGAUCACCAAGAUCUAAUGAACCUGUUCAUGGUAUUCUCAUUCAUGUUUGAACAACUUAAACCUGCUGUUAAUUGUAAUACAUCUUCUUUUAUGCAUAUGGAGUUGGAAUUCCAUUGCUUUAGGAAUUCCAAUCUAUUUAAUAUGAUUAUUGUAUCAACUCACUUGUUGUUAAUAUGCCAUGUAUCUUCUGUGCUUAUAUUUUUCCUUUUAUAUGGUGUAUUUGCUUAUUCCUCGUUAGCCUCCGUUUCCUACGUCGACAAACCCGGUUCCGACUCCUACUCGGACCCAUAUUCUCGGUGCCCAGCGACCGAGGAACCAGGCAAACAACCCUCCUUGACCAUGUUCAUUAAACCUAUUUGCCUCUCCAUUAAUCUUGCAUUAAGUUACAAUUUCAGUCUUGUCACGAUGCCUCUAGGAUUGCAUAGCUUACUAGGCAGCUCUACUUAAGAUACGACUUCUAACGCAGAAACAACUAUCCAUGUCCUUACGCAUUCAAUAAAAGUGAAUACAAUAGGCAAUCACUUUACAAAUAUUUUAAAGUGCGACCCCCUUCUGCUCCCCUCCUCGCGACCACGAGGGCACGCCGCACGCACGACCGCACAUCACGAGGUCCCGAUAGCCCGCCGCCGCCUCCUUCUGUCUUCCUCGCGACCUCGCCUCUUCCCCCACCCCUCCGCCGCUAAACAAGAAUAUACCAAAUUUUGUAUACCAUAAGUAGCAUUAUUUAAUAAAUUAUUGGUGUUACAUAUAGCUCAUACAACUUGAAUGGUAUGUUAUUCCGAUUAAUUUUACAAAUAUCGAUUUAGUCUGCAUUUGUAUGCAAUACGUUUCAUGAUAUAUUGUUUAUAUAAUUAUAUUUUUAAUUCCAUAGACAUCUUUUCAGACUUACGGGCAUAAAAAUAGCAAAUAAAAUAUGAUAUUCCAAACCAUUGUGUAUAACUCAUAUUUAUCCUUUUUUGCUGUAUUUUAUUUUGUACAUCUCAUAAUAUAUUGUCUAGAUAGUUAGAUUUUUCUAAUUCUAGAGACAUCUUCAUACUUCCUGAACUAUAAAGAUUAAGUAAAUAUUUAUCAGAUACUUUAAACAUAAGGACACGAAGCAACCAUGUUUUGUCCACAUAAACUAAAAAUAUACACUCCUUUGAUCUUGAUCUGAGGUUUAAUAAGUGAUUUAAAAGGAACACAUACAUGCAUGCACCCUGAGUUUACAUGGAUAAGAACAUCUCUAGCAGUAACCGAACACAGCCGGCCCGAACUAGCCAAGUUCAGUUGAUCUGAAUUCCUGUUUUCAAUACAGAAAGCUGCGGGGCAGAACAGAAACCAAACUAAAUCCGAACAUUUUGAAAACUAAGAUGCGCGCGUGAUUCUCGUCAUAUUUAGCAACAAACUGAUUCCAUUCGAACAUUUAAAUUUCAUACAAUAGAUCCCACAGGUUCAUACAAUAGAUCUAAUAACUAAACCGAAGUUCUAACAUUAAAUACAAUAGAUCUGCCGAGGGGAGGGGGUUCGUUGCCGGAGCCGGCCUACCUUUCCGUCUUAGAGUGGCAGACGGCCUGGCACACGUCGAUGGUGAACCAACACGGAUAAGACGUGCGACCAACACGAACCACACGUACCAACCCAAAAGGAGAUGUGCGAAACACCCAGGAUUCGAUCCAAAUCGAGAGCACUCACAUAAUAGCCGUACGUUCGGGAACUAACGAGAGAGAUCGUCAUGUGGUCGCUGCUGCUGCUUCUGGCGGCGGCUGUGCUGUACCCGGCGCCGGCGUGGCUGAUGGCGAUGUCGGCGCUCUCCUUCGCGUGGGUGGCGUCCUUGGGCGUCUCCGAGCUCCGCGGCCAGCACAUGCCAUACUCCAAGUUCUGGCACGCCAUCGUCGUCUCCGGCUCCGGCCAGAAGAAGCGGGCCGAGCGCCUGCUGCCGAGCCGCGCCGCGAUGCUGAUGGCCUAUACGCCGGCGCUGGUCGCCGCGGCGGCGGCCUUCGCGGUGCCGGGCGCCGUGGAAGGCCUCCGCGCGCAGCUCCUCGCCGGCGCGCUCGCCGUCCACUUCCUCAAACGGGUGCUCGAGGUAAUUAACCAACCACUGAGACCGACUGAUCUUGUGAGACGUGCAACUACUUGCUUUUCCCCUUUUUAGGUACUGAGUGCCUGUUCUGUCGAACAAGUUCAGACCAGAAACAGAAGUAGGAUUUUGUUUUGUUUUAACUUGAAAAAAAUGAAGGGAAAGGUUUGACCCUUUGUCUAAAAUGGAAAGCAGAGCAGCCGGUACUGUUUCUACCGUUCAAAUCAGAGUCUGGGAUUUUUUGUAGAAGUGUAGCAAGUUCAAAAACUGAUGAAAAUUCUUUAUCCUAUGACUGCACUAGGAGUACAUGACUGAGAAUUUUUUUUCCGUUGACUAGUGGUUUUAUUCCCAGCUGCCACCCUCCAUGCAAUUGGCACACCAUGGUUCUUCAACGAGUGAUCUUCUUUUAAUUAAGGAGGAAACACCCUGACCUAUAUAUAUGCAUUUCGUGAAAAAUUUAGACGACAAAAUUAGAACAAGAGGACAUGAAUCCAAAAAAAUUGAACCGCAUAUAGAACACAGAAUUCCACAAUAAUUAACUGUAUAUCCAAUUCUAACAGUCUCAUGAAAAAAGGUAAUCGUUCCAUUACAUAAUUAUUAUUAAUUCAGCCAUUUUUGCUCACCUAGGCUAUACUACUUGCUUUCCUCUUUUUAGGUACUGUUCAUCCACCGGUACAGCGGAAGCAUGCCACUCAACACGGCGCUGCUGAUCUCCUCCAGCUACGUGCUCAUCACCGUCGGCAUGAUCUACUCCCUGCACCUCGCCGCCCGCCUCCCGGAUCCCCCCGUCAACCUGCUCUACCCCGGCAUGCUCGUCUUCGCCAUCGGCAUCGCCGGCAACUUCUACCACCACUACCUCCUCUCAAAGCUAAGGAAGGGCAACAAUGAUGACAAGGAGUACAAGAUCCCCAAGGGCG
rnacentral:lncRNA from 1 species